rnacentral:rRNA from 1 species
UACGUAGGUGGCAAGCGUUGUCCGGAUUUAUUGGGUUUAAAGGGUGCGUAGGCGGUCUAUUAAGUCAGUGCUGAAAUAUCCCGGCUUAACCGGGAGGGUGGCAUUGAUACUGAUGGACUUGAGUAAAGUUGAGGUUGGCGGAAUUGACGGUGUAGCGGUGAAAUGCUUAGAUAUCGUCAAGAACACCGAUUGCGAAGGCAGCUAACUAAGCUUAAACUGACGCUGAGGCACGAAAGUGUGGGGAUCAAACAGG